CUCUGGGUCCAACCUCCCACCCGUGUCUAUCGUACCUUGUUGCUUCGGCGGGCCCGCCGUUUCGACGGCCGCCGGGGAGGCCUCGCGCCCCCGGGCCCGCGCCCGCCGAAGACCCCAACAUGAACGCUGUUCUGAAAGUAUGCAGUCUGAGUUGAUUAUCAUAAUCAGUUAAAACUUUCAACAACGGAUCUCUUGGUUCCGGCAUCGAUGAAGAACGCAGCGAAAUGCGAUAAGUAAUGUGAAUUGCAGAAUUCAGUGAAUCAUCGAGUCUUUGAACGCACAUUGCGCCCCCUGGUAUUCCGGGGGGCAUGCCUGUCCGAGCGUCAUUGCUGCCCUCAAGCACGGCUUGUGUGUUGGGCCCCGUCCCCUCCCCCGGGGACGGGCCCGAAAGGCAGCGGCGGCACCGCGUCCGGUCCUCGAGCGUAUGGGGCUUUGUCACCCGCUCUGUAGGCCCGGCCGGCGCCAGCCGACACCCAACUUUAUUUUCUAAGGUUGACCUCGGAUCAGGUAGGGAUACCCGCUGAACUUAAGCAUA
rnacentral:rRNA from 1 species